AAUAGCUCAGCGAUAAAGCGGUCGGCUAUUAACUGACGGGAUGUAAGUUCGAAUCCUACUU
rnacentral:tRNA from 1 species